rnacentral:misc_RNA from 1 species
GAUGAAGAACGCAGCGAAAUGCGAUAAGUAGUGUGAAUUGCAGAAUUCAGUGAAUCAUCGAAUCUUUGAACGCACAUUGCGCCCCUUGGUAUUCCAUGGGGCAUGCCUGUUCGAGCGUCGUUUGUACCUUCAAGCCUUGCUUGGUGUUGGGUGUUUGUCUCGCCUCUGCGCGCAGACUCGCCUCAAAACAAUUGGCAGCCGGCGUAUUGAUUUCGGAGCGCAGUACAUCUCGCGCUUUGCACUCAGAACGACGACGUCCAAAAGUACAUUUUUACACUCUUGACCUCGGAUCAGGUAGGGAUACCCGCUGAACUUAAGCAUAUCAAUAAGCGGAGGA